GAGCACCGAGGGCCUCGGCAUCCACGACACCCUGGACUCCCUGGUGUUGGCUCUGUACCUCCUGUCGGUCCUCAGUGUCGGACUGUGGGCCAUGCUGUCAAGCAGUCGUGGGACCGUAACAGACUUCUUUCUGGCUGGCCGGAAUCUGGCAUGGUGGCUGGCUGUAUUUCUGCUCUGUUCUCUUGGUUGGAUAUUUGUUCCUGUUUACAUUAAGGCUGAGGCACACUGGUCUACACCGCAGCAGUCGGACCUCACAGUGUGGAUUGUGCAGUCACUCUGAAAGGUGUAUGAUGCCCUGUCGCCAUGGUUACGUGAAUAUAUAUAUAUAUAUAUAUAUGGCCACCAGCUCUAGCUACCACUGUCCUGAAACAUGGGCAACCUGUGUUCUUCUCGUGCUAAAGUGACCCCACUGCGCCCAAGGCGUAUCAAAGUGAAGCCCUGCCUGGACAUCAAUGAUGGUGAUCAGCCUGUCACCAUCCAGUCCUGCCCAGAGACUACAAACCCCCAGACCUGCUGGGAAAGACGUCCCAUCUGCCUCCACUGCCCUAGGAUCUGCUCGUGUGGCAUCAGUAUUGGCAUGACUGAACCAGGUCCAAUCAACCCACCCAGGAGCCAUCCAGGCAUCUCAUGGGCCGGCAGUAGAAAGCCAGGGUGCCCACCCACCUGCUGGGCCAGGAAGCAGGUCACACCUAGGCUGGAGCCCAGCAUCCCCAGCCACCCCAAGCUGCCAGGUAGGAAAGUGCAUUUUAGACAUGGUUUCCUACAUUAUAUGAAAAUAGAUAGAUAGAUAGAUAGAUAGAUAGAUAGAUAGAUAGAUAGAUAGAUACAUACAUACAUACAUACAUACAUACAUACAUAGACAGAUAGAUACUGACUUAAAACCUUUGUUUGCAAAGUCCAAGGUCUUGGUUUCCCAUGGAUAAUUUCUUUUCAUUGCUCUUCUUCCUGAUUAUGGUCCUGGGUUGAUUGUUCCUGAGAGCGGUACCAGGCUUGGUGAUCUCAAAGAAGACUCACAGGACUCACCUAAUAGUCUUUAAUUUGUCCAUGAUUUACUACAAUAAAAGCAUACGAAGUAAAAUCAACAGAGAGAAACUGUCCAUGGGGUGAGGUCUACAGAAAACCUACUGAAAGACCCCAAGGCUGCUCUCCCAGGAGAUGACUCUUAAGUUCUCCAGCAGGGAGUGUGAGAGCAUGUGAGGUGUGGUCUACCAGGGAGUCUGAUUACAGACUCACUGUUUCCAGAUUGAUAGCAUGUACCAAAGUCCCUCAUCCUCGGACAACAGAUGUUCUGAGUGAGCCAUGCUGUCUGCACAAACCAUUUAGGCAUAGGGUAUGCCAGUCUUGUUAAUGCUGGUAAUGGUGAAAACCCUCCAGAUACCCAUUCUCAGAUGGCAAGCAUGGGCCAAACUUGGAAUCACUCCUUUUGAAGGACAGCACUUUAAAAUUUGCUUUACUAAACCUUCCUGCAUAGUCCUAUAAUUUGUUUUCUCCUAUGCAUGCCUUGCUUUAUUUUGUGAUUAACUGGAUAUAUUAAAUCAAAUAACGGGAUAGCUGGAAAUCAGAAUCUCUACAUACAGCAGGGUUUAUUGUUGUUGCUAUAUAUUUUAGUUGUUUUAUUUGCUUCUUAGUGACUCUUCUGAAAUUAAGACCCAGGAAUUAUCAAAUCCUGAAAGCUACAUACUUUAGAAGUAAUGAAAAAUAACAAAGGGAAGGAUGGCUUUGUUAUUAUUUUAUCACAUUUUUUUGCAAUUCAUUAUAUUACAGAGUUAAAAUGCACCAGCUUUCACCCCUUAUCUCCUCUCUUGACAUAGUCUCAAAUUGACCAGCCUGUACAAGGAAAGAUAUCCUCCUCACUCUGUUAAUACACAGGACAUAUCUCCCAUAAUUGGAUAACACAGAUUAGUCAGUAAAUACCAUAGACUGUUUUGCCUAGAAAGAACCCAAUUCAUUUGUUAAACGUUGCUUUUAUUCAAGUGCAAAAUCCUAUUUUAAAAAAAUCAAUAGGCCUGGCAUGGUGGUUCAGGCCUGUAAUCCUAGCACUCUGACAGGCCAAGGCAGGCAGAUCUUUUGAGCUCAAGACUUUGAGACCACCCAGUGCAAGAGGGAGACCCCAUCUCUACGAAAAAUAGAAAAAAUUAGCCAG